rnacentral:rRNA from 1 species
GAACCUGCGGAGGGAUCAUUACUGAGUUUACGCUCUAUAACCCUUUGUGCACAUACCUAUAACUGUUGCUUCGGCGGGUAGGGUCUCCGCGACCCUCCCGGCCUCCCGCCUCCGGGCGGGUCGGCGCCCGCCGGAGGAUAACCAAACUAUGAUUGAACGACGUUUCUUCUGAGUGGUACAAGCAAAUAAUCAAAACUUUUAACAACGGAUCUCUUGGUUCUGGGAUAGAUGAAGAACGCAGCGAAAUGCGAUAAGUAAUGUGAAUUGCAGAAUUCAGUGAAUCAUCGAAUCUUUGAACGCACAUUGCGCCCGCCAGCAUUGUUGCGGGCAUGCCUGUUCGAGCGUCAUUUCAACCCUCAAGCUCUGCUUGGUGUUGGGGCCCUACAGCUGAUGUAGGCCCUCAAAGGUAGUGGCGGACCCUCCCGGAGCCUCCUUUGCGUAGUAACUAUACGUGUCGCACGUGGGAUCCGGAGGGACUCUAGCCGUAAAACCCCCCAAUUUUCCAAAGGUUGACCUCGGAUCAGGUAGGAAUA